UAGGGAAUCUUCCACAAUGGACGAAAGUCUGAUGGAGCAAUGCCGCGUGAGCGAAGAAGGUUUUCGGAUCGUAAAGCUCUGUUGUAAGGGAAGAACACGUACGGGAGUAACUGCCCGUACCUUGACGGUACCUUAUUAGAAAGCCACGGCUAACUACGUGCCAGCAGCCGCGGUAAUACGUAGGUGGCAAGCGUUGUCCGGAAUUAUUGGGCGUAAAGCGCGCGCAGGCGGUUCUUUAAGUCUGAUGUGAAAGCCCACGGCUCAACCGUGGAGGGUCAUUGGAAACUGGAGAACUUGAGUACAGAAGAGGAAAGCGGAAUUCCACGUGUAGCGGUGAAAUGCGUAGAGAUGUGGAGGAACACCAGUGGCGAAGGCGGCUUUCUGGUCUGUAACUGACGCUGAGGCGCGAAAGCGUGGGGAGCAAACAGG
rnacentral:rRNA from 1 species